GAUGAACGCUGGCGGCGUGCCUAAUACAUGCAAGUCGAGCGAACAGAUGAGGAGCUUGCUCCUCUGACGUUAGCGGCGGACGGGUGAGUAACACGUGGAUAACCUACCCAUAAGACUGGGAUCACUUCGGGAAACCGGAGCUAAUACCGGAUAAUAUAUUGAACCGCAUGGUUCAAUAGUGAAAGACGGUUUUGCUGUCACUUCUAGAUGGAUCCGCGCCGCAUUAGCUAGUUGGUAAGGUAACGGCUUACCAAGGCGACGAUGCGUAGCCGACCUGAGAGGGUGAUCGGCCACACUGGAACUGAGACACGGUCCAGACUCCUACGGGAGGCAGCAGUAGGGAAUCUGACGCAAUGGGCGAAAGCCUGACGGAGCAAGGCCGCGUGAGUGAUGAAGGUCUUCGGAUCGUAAAACUCUGUUAUUAGGGAAGAACAAAUGUGUAAGUAACUAUGCACGUCUUGACGGUACCUAAUCAGAAAGCCACGGCUAACUACGUG
rnacentral:rRNA from 1 species